AUGUUGACCAGAAGACUGCAGCAAGGAUGCAGCAGCGCUCUUCUGCUCGCGUUCCUCCUCGUCGCCAACGCGUCAGGCACCUUCUCUGAAGAGCAAGAAGCUGAGGGGAGCAAGAGGCGGUCGCUGGCGACGGGGCAGUUCUGCGUGGCAAAGCAGGGCGCGGACCCGACGGCGCUGCAGACUGGGCUCAACUACGCGUGCGGCCCCGGCCACGCCGACUGCGGCCCGAUCCAGCCCGGCGGCAAGUGCUACAAGGCCAACGACCUGCCGGGGCUCGCCUCCUACGCCUACAACGACUACUACCAGCGCAACGCCGCCUCCGGCGCCAGCUGCAACUUCAGCGGCACCGCCAUGACCACCCAAAACGACCCCAGCUCGGGGCAGUGCGUCUUCGCGGGAAGCUCCAUGUCGGGAGGCUCCAACGGCACGACGCCGGCGGCGAGCGCCCCUACCAGCCUCUUCCCGCCGUCGACCUUCACGCCGGGCUUCGGAGGGGGCCCCACCAGCUCCUUGACCCCUCUGGGGGACGACGCGUGA
rnacentral:rRNA from 1 species